rnacentral:tRNA from 1 species
GCCUAGUUAGCUUAGUUGGUAGUGCGUCUGCCUUGUAAGCGCUAGGCCGCGGGUUCGAAUCCCGCUCGGGGCG